rnacentral:rRNA from 1 species
UACGGAGGGAGCUAGCGUUGUUCGGAAUUACUGGGCGUAAGGCGCGCGUAGGCGGCUUUGUAAGUUAGAGGUGAAAGCCCGGAGCUCAACUCCGGAACUGCCUUUAAAACUGCAUCGCUUGAAUCCAGGAGAGGUGAGUGGAAUUCCGAGUGUAGAGGUGAAAUUCGUAGAUAUUCGGAAGAACACCAGUGGCGAAGGCGGCUCACUGGACUGGUAUUGACGCUGAGGUGCGAAAGCGUGGGGAGCAAACAGG